UUUCCGUAGGUGAACCUGCGGAAGGAUCAUUAAUAAAUUUUUUUUUGAAAUAAAAAAAAAUAAUAAUCAUCCUACCCUUUGUGAAUUUGUUUGUUGAAUAAUUUUUUAAAAUUAUUUAUUGUCUAUCCAAGUUGGAAAGUUGUAAAAGACUGAAGACUUGGAGCGGCAUAAAUAAAUUUAAAGACUUUUUUUUAAAAUUAAACUUUUGUAUUCAUUUGUCUAAAAUAAUUUUUAUAAUAUAUAAAAACAACUUUUGACAAUGGAUCUCUUGGUUCUCGCAACGAUGAAGAACGCAGCAAAAUGCGAUAAGUAAUGUGAAUUGCAGAAUACGUGAAUCAUCGAAUCUUCGAACGCAUAUUGCACUUUUUUAGUUUACUAAAAAAGUAUGUCUGUUUGAGUAUCAGUAAAAUAUUCUCAUAAAAUUUUUAAUUUUAUGGUUAUGAGUGUUUACAACGAUAAACAAGUUGUUUCACUUUAAAUUGAAUUUUUUGAAGAAAUUCUUAAUUCAAAUUAAAUUUGGAUAAAAUUUUCCCGUAAAAAGGAAUAACUAUACAAGUUUAAUAAGAAUUUAGUGAUUUCUUUUAUGAAAAGGAAAUUUAUUAAAUAACUUGAUCUCAAAUCAGAUAAGAGUACCCGCUGAACUUAAGCAUAUCAAUAAGCGGAGGAAAAGAAACUAACAAGGAUUCCCCUAGUAACGGCGAGUGAAGCGGGAAGAGCUCAAAUUUGAAAUCUUAAAGGGUUUCCCUUUACGAAUUGUAGUUUAAAGAAGUGUUUUCCGUUGAGGUUUUGGUAAAAGUUCUUUGGAAUAGGACAUCAUAGAGGGUGAGAAUCCCGUAUUUGACCUUUACUUUCAACUUUGUGAUACACUUUCAAAGAGUCGGAUUGUUUGGGAAUGCAGUCCAAAAUGGGUGGUAAAUUUCAUCUAAAGCUAAAUAUUGGCGAGAGACCGAUAGCGAACAAGUACCGUGAGGGAAAGAUGAAAAGAACUUUGAAAAGAGAGUUAAACAGUACGUGAAAUUGUCAAAAGGGAAGCGUUUGACACCAGUGUUGUUUUUCUGAAAAUCAAUUAAAGAACUGUUUAUGCUAAGUUGUUUAGACUUUAUCAGCUAACUGUUUAGUUUUGGGCUUUUCUUUAAUGCACUUUUCAGUUAACAAGUCAACAUCAAUUUCUUUUGCUGUAAAAAAGCUUGAGGAAGGUGGCUUGAGAUUCGUCUUAAGUGUUUAUAGCCUCUUGCCUAUGCAGUCGGAGAGAUUGAGGUCUGCAGCGUAGAUCCUUCGGGGCUAAAUGCAUUUGUGCUAGUUAUAGCAUUUUAUAGACAACUUGUUGACUAUGAUUUGUCUUGUAGCUUACUCGCUUAUGUUAUUU
rnacentral:misc_RNA from 1 species